CACCGUUAGCCGUUCCGGCUCAGCGGUUUCCCUCGGUUCCUGUGUUGCCUACCGGUGAAAUGGUAUGCUUGUGGCUGGCGAGAUAUGUUCCUUCCGGGUGUCUCUUCGGGGRUGCCUGGGGAUUUUAAAGUGWUGCGCGUGUACCACGUCAGUGCGUGCUAUCACGGCUGUUGUGGUGCCCGGGCAGGCACUGUUCUCUCGGAUGCGGUCUAUGCGGCGAACGUGGGUCGAAUCGUCCCAUUGUGUCCCUCGAAAUUUCGGUUGCCUUGAACGACGCCUGCCCCGGUGCCUGCUCGGUUUCCCGUUGCCGGGGCCGAUGCUCGCGCCGGCGGCAGUGUCGCCAACGGGUGCUA
rnacentral:misc_RNA from 1 species